UGAGCUCCCAAGGUACGAGACCCGCCAUCAAACCAGCGAGGAGCGCGGGGAGGCCGCGGAGAACACUUAUGCCUUUCAGCAUCGAACCAAGCUGAUACAAACCUACAAGCCAAGGGAGCCAGUAUUUGGCCAUCCGUCCAUCCAUCUGCAUGUCCCAGGGGUGCACAAAUAGGGAACAGUUCAGCUUUUCAGCCACCUUUAAAGAAGCAAUGAGAGAGAGAGGGAGAGAGAAGGACUGUUAUUUGGAUGAACCAGCAAAUAUAGGGUGUAGAGCAUGGUGAUUUGACAACUCUACCUUAUGCUGUGCUUACACAAGGGAAGCUGCCAUCUGUCACCAUACAGCACCAUUACGGUAUUGAUUUUAUUCCCUAUGCUGGACCGUUCAUCUUUGUGACUUACGUAUUUCAUAACUGGAAGCCAAGUAUCCCCCCCGCUCUGAUUUACCCAUUUUGCCCAUCCCCUUGGUAGCCACUGGUUUGCUCUCUGUGUCCAUUGGGUAUAUCACUGUCUUUGUUUAUUUUUCUUU